UAAUUAUGUAUUAUAAACUCAAGAGGGCCUUGAACUGUUGAAGGCAGCUAUAGAAAAGGCUGGAUACACUGGAAAGGUGGUUAUUGGAAUGGAUGUUGCUGCUUCUGAAUUCUUCAGUGAGAAGGAUAAGAUUUAUGAUCUUAAUUUCAAGGAGGAAAACAACGAUGGUUCAAACAAAAUCUCAGGUGACAGCCUGAAAGAUCUGUACAAGUCCUUUGUUUCUGAAUAUCCUAUUGUGUCCAUCGAAGACCCAUUUGAUCAGGAUGACUGGGCCACCUAUGCCAAACUCACUGCUGAGAUUGGAGAGCAAGUGCAGAUUGUAGGAGAUGAUCUUCUUGUUACUAAUCCAACCGUAAGUAACAUUUUAGUGAGUUGUUUUUUCUUACUAUAAUCCUGCAACAUACAAGUUUGAACAUUACCUGCCUGACCUGUACCGCGGACAAUACUAAAUGUGACUUUGAUGGGGGCCUUCAGAAGCGAUGCUCAUAUUGGCCUUUGGAGUCAUCCUAAUACCAUAUUUGAUUGCAGCCACUGGUGCCUUCCUGGAGUUCCAUAUGCUUGGAAUGAACUUGUAUUUCCCAUCUGUUGACAAAUGAUUCUAUAUAAAGGCCUCGGUUCAGAUCAUUAUCAAGCUUGUCUCUUCUUUUAUGUUGAGACUUGAGAGGGCUUAGUGAUUCAGUUGCUCUACAAUCUAUUUUGUUCAGCAGGCG